rnacentral:rRNA from 1 species
AUUGAACGCUGGCGGCAGGCCUAACACAUGCAAGUCGAACGAGUGGCGGACGGGUGAGUAAUGUCUGGGAAACUGCCUGAUGGAGGGGGAUAACUACUGGAAACGGUAGCUAAUACCGCAUACCAUCAGAUGUGCCCAGAUGGGAUUAGCUUGUUGGUUGGGUAAUGGCGCACCAAGGCGCCGAUCCCUAGCUUGUCUGAGGGGAUGACCAGCCACACGGGAACUGUGAUACGGUCCCAACCCCUACGUGAGGCAGCAUUCGGGUAUAUACGGGAGUGAGCGGUAGCCUGAAGUGCCCAAUCCGGGUAUCUCAGGAGGGGCUUCGGCUUGUAGAGUACUUUACGCGUCGAGGCGGUACCCAACGAAGAAGCACCGGCUAACUCCGUGCCAGCAGCCGCGGUAAUUC